AGAAUUUGAUCUUGGUCAGGAUGAACGCUGGCGGCAGGCUUAAUACAUGCAAGUCGAACGGUAAGGUCCGAAGUGGCAACACGGAGGAUACACGAGUGGCGCACGGGUGCGUAACGCGUAUGCAACCUGCCCCCGACCGGGACAAAACAGCUGGAAACGGCUGCUAAUAUCCCAUGGUCAUGCGGAAGGGCAUCCUUCUUCAUGUAAAGAUUCAUUGGUCGGGGAUGGGCAUGCGUAUUAUUAGGUAGUUGGCGGGGUAACGGCCCACCAAGCCGACGAUGAUUAGGGGUCCUGAGAGGGUUAACCCCCACACUGGAACUGAGACACGGUCCAGACUCCUACGGGAGGCAGCAGUAGGGAAUAUUGGGCAAUGGGAGCAAUCCUGACCCAGCCAUGCCGCGUGAAGGAAGACGGCCCUAUGGGUUGUAAACUUCUUUUGCCGCAGAGUAAACCCGGUCACGAGUGGUCGGUUGAGAGUAUGCGGCGAAUAAGUAUCGGCUAACUCCGUGCCAGCAGCGGC
rnacentral:rRNA from 1 species